GGCAGGUAGAUUCUUUGCUGCUGAGCCACCAGUGAAGCCCAGGUUUAUUGAGAAGCUUCUAGCUACUGAAUUGGACUCUCUCCUGGUGACAUCAAUUAUACCACACAAGAUUUCUUUUGAACUUCUUGGAACUGUCAUAGGCUCUGGCCUCAGAAAAUUCUGCCUCCAAGAGUCUUAUGGAUUAAUGGGGGAGAGAGCCAAAAAUGCAAGCAGUUUCAUGAAGGCAGGUGAAAACACAGGUCCUACAGGGCAUCCAGGCAGAAAGAGCACCUGGUCCUGCAAUGGAAGACCGAAAAGUCUUUGCAAAGAGGUGGAUGAAACUGGAGCCUAUUAUACAGAGCAAAAUUCUGAUGGAAUUGUUACAUGAGGAUUGGAAUUCCACUGAAUUGAAAAGAACCCAGGAUGGAGUAGAAUGGUUGACAACCAUCCACCUGAAACAAAACAGCUAAGGAAAAGAAGUUGCCACCAGAGGAAGAACACCUGUCUGCAUGCUUUUCAGUACUUAUGUGGGAUUACUUUCCAAGUGCAGCCAACAGACAGGUAAUGGCUUUUUGCUAUGCGGUCUUGGUCUGAAAAGUCUGUGUGUGAGGGGUUAUUUUUGUAAUUCUUGCCAAAACUGAAGUUCUCACAUUCUUUGUAAAGUAAAAGAAAAUUUGGUUUAAGCAUUUAAAAAAGAUACAAAUGGCUCUAAAUAUCUACAAAUAAAGAUGCUCAUUGUAACAUCGUUUAUAGGAUAAAAAACUAGAAUCCAGUUAAAUGUCUACCAAUAGGGAGCAAAUAAGCUAUGGUUCUUUCACACAAAUUCUGUGUAGUCUUUUUUUU